rnacentral:rRNA from 1 species
GACGAACGCUGGCGGCGUGCUUAACACAUGCAAGUCGAACGGUUAAGCGAGUGCUUGCACUCGUGGAUCAGUGGCGAACGGGUGAGUAACACGUGAGUAACCUGCCCAUCACUCUGGGAUAAGCACUGGAAACGGUGUCUAAUACUGGAUACGACCAACCCUUGCAUGGGGUGUUGGUGGAAAGAUUUAUCGGUGAUGGAUGGACUCGCGGCCUAUCAGCUUGUUGGCGGGGUAAUGGCCCACCAAGGCGACGACGGGUAGCCGGCCUGAGAGGGUGACCGGCCACACUGGGACUGAGACACGGCCCAGACUCCUACGGGAGGCAGCAGUGGGGAAUAUUGCACAAUGGGCGAAAGCCUGAUGCAGCGACGCCGCGUGAGGGAUGACGGCCUUCGGGUUGUAAACCUCUUUCAGCAGGGAAGAAGCGAAAGUGACGGUACCUGCAGAAGAAGCACCGGCUAACUACGUG